AUGCUUUACAUCUCUCUGGGAAGGAAGUGGAAACACGCUGUGGUUAAGGGUCUCUGCAUUUUGCUGAAACCUUUAGUUGGUUUGACACCAUUGCGAAAGACUGACACAAUGAAGCAAGUAAUUUUCUUCUUCUGUGUAUUUCCUUAUUGGAUUACAGAAAUCACAUCCAAUGAUGCGUCAGUACAAGGAUCUUCUGAUCUGUUAAGAGUUCAACUGGAAGAAAACGUCAGUCUGAACUGCAGCAUGACAGAUCAACAUGACAUCGCCUGGUAUCACCUCAGAUCUGACCGAUUCAAUCAACUGAUUGCGGCAGAAAAGGAUGAAACAGGAAGAAAACUUCUGGUCACCUACAAUCAAAACAGCAUUCGUCUGAUAAUUACUGCAGACUGGCGGAUCACCACAGUGACUUUAACUAUUUCUGGAGUAACAGAGUCAGAUUCUGGUCUUUAUUUCUGUGGAACAAAGUCUGGCACUACAGAGAUGUACUUCAACAAACCCAUCAGACUAGAGAUCCAGGGUCUUUCUGUAACAGAAGAACCAAAAGAAGUUGACAUCACAGGUAACAUGUUGGUUAUCUUGGUCGAUAAUUUAAUUUUUCAUGUUCUAACUUUGGAAAUCCAGCACUAUUCUAGUCAUCAGUUAACACUUUCUGGUUACAAAUAUGAAUUAUUCCUGUCUGUCUAUAGAUGGAGUGACUACGAAAGAGAGGGCAAUGAUGUUCGGUGGUGUUGGUCUGGCUGUGCUUGUGUUUUUUCUGGCUACAGUCUUUGCAGGAGGAAUCAUUCACUAUCGAGGUUGGCAGAAAGGAUGGGCCGCAGCCAAACGCUCAUCUCUGAUUCAUCACAAAUCAGAUAAAUGAUACAUUUAUGUGCUUUAUUUUACAGUCUGAGCUUUGCACUGCCAGUUAAAUCAGCAUUACUGCAGGUUACCACAAAUAAAACAGAAAACUGUGACCUAGAUGCCUUUCCU
ensembl:lncRNA